rnacentral:rRNA from 1 species
UGGCCUACGGGAGGCAGCAGUGGGGAAUAUUGCACAAUGGGGGAAACCCUGAUGCAGCGACGCCGCGUGAGUGAGGAAGUAUUUCGGAAUGUAAAGCUCUAUCAGCAGGGAAGAAGAUGACGGUACCUGAGUAAGAAGCCCCGGCUAACUACGUGCCAGCAGCCGCGGUAAUACGUAGGGGGCAAGCGUUAUCCGGAUUUACUGGGUGUAAAGGGAGCGUAGACGGCUGCGCAAGUCUGAAGUGAAAGCCCGGGGCUCAACCCCGGGACUGCUUUGGAAAC